ACCAGAAUCUUCUUCCUUCUUAUUUCCGACAAAAUCGGACUCAAAGAGUCCGACUAGGAUAGGAAACCUCCACUACAAAGAUCUCCCGUCCUCUCUUAGGAAUUUACAACAAAAAUUUCGAAGAAAAUCGAGGGAUUUGAAAAAUUUUCUCAAAGAUUACCGUGGGUGGUUGAUCGGAAGAAAAGGAGGUCGUCAGCGCUUUCUUUGGACGGCAGAGCAAGAUAUUCCUUUUCUCCUUUUUAUUCUCCGAUCACCGG
rnacentral:lncRNA from 1 species